AGCUUGAGACAGAGAUGCGGAAGGACUACCCACACCUCUAUUCAGGUAGCGCACUCUGAAUUUUGAGGACAAAAUUCCUAAUUAGGUGGGUAGGAUGUAAACCCCGCUAAAAUCGGUAUAUAAUUAGUCAAUAAAUCGAAUUUUCAAUAGGAAAAUUAAAUACGCAAAACUGAUAUCAAAAUAGGAUAGAGCUCGUCGAAACGAGAAUUUCGAUACCAAUUUCGAAAAGUUUGGCCCAAGAUUGGGCCGGAUGGGCCGGACUGGUUGAACCGGACCCAAAAUGGGCCCAAGGCCCAACCGAACCCAAUCCAUUAAAGAGGCACAGCUUCUUAUUUCCCUUCUUCUUCAUUAUUCACGCUGGGAAACAUUUCUUAGGGGGAAGAAGAACACAAGCAAAAACCUAACCCUCACUUUAAUUUCAAAUCCAUGUAACUUUUGAUCCGGAGCUCCGAUUGACGAACCGCUUGCGGCCACGCGUUCACCGCGACGAGCUCUAUGAAACCCAUGGAACAAUUUGGUUCAAGUUAGCUUCCGGAACUUGUGGGCUCAAGCUAUUGAGCAUAUGGGUAUGGUGUAGAUUAAGUGGGUAUAUAUGCAUUGA